rnacentral:rRNA from 1 species
GAUCAUGGCUCAGGAUGAACGCUGGCGGCGUGCUUAACACAUGCAAGUCGAACGAGGGUUGCUGGUUGAAGUUUCGGAUGGAAACCGGUAAUUCCUAGUGGCGGACGGGUGAGUAACGCGUGGGGAACCUGCCCCGCUCCGGGGGAUACCAGCUGGAAACGGCUGUUAAUACCGCAUAAGCGCACAGUAUCGCAUGAUGCAGUGUGAAAAACUCCGGUGGAACGGGAUGGCCCCGCGUCUGAUUAGCCAGUUGGCAGGGUAACGGCCUACCAAAGCGACGAUCAGUAGCCGGCCUGAGAGGGCGACCGGCCACAUUGGGACUGAGACACGGCCCAAACUCCUACGGGAGGCAGCAGUGGGGAAUAUUGCACAAUGGGGGAAACCCUGAUGCAAGCGACGCCGCGUGAGUGAGGAAGUAUUUCGGUAUGUAAAGCUCUAUCAGCAGGGAAGAAGAUGACGGUACCUGCACAAGAAGCCCCGGCUAACUACGUGCCAGCCGCGGC